UCACACCCUAUCCCACGCCCCGUCCCUCCCUCCAACCCCCCCUUCUACAGGAGAUGGGAGAACUUUCCUCGUCAAGAUCUACCCUGCCGUAGUGCAGUCAAAUGAAAGACGAUUUCAUUUCACUACUCGGGACGCAAAGUGGCGCAGGCAAGAUUCUCUGGGAAUAUCUAAUUCCAAUGAGGAAUAUCUUACUAUAUUCACGGUUUUUUAGGGAUACAUCAGUUUACGUGUCAGUUGACUUUUUACAUGUAGUUAAUACAUUUAUGUCGCCAAACUAGGAAAAAGAUUGCGGUAGGAUACAGGACGGACGACUUGUUCCAUUGGUUUCUACGGAAAGGGAUAGAACUAAACUAAAGACGGUCCUAGUUAAAGUGAUAAAACGGUUUCAGAAUGAAUAACAGCAAAAAUGAAAAGGAGAACGAACAAAAUGAAUACACCAAUCACGAAGAGGAGGUCCGAACACUAUUCGUCAGUGGACUACCUCUGGAUAUUAAACCGAGAGAACUCUAUCUCCUGUUCAGGCCAUUUAAGGGCUAUGAAGGCUCCUUGAUAAAACUUACCUCAAAACAGCCGGUGGGGUUUGUCAGCUUUGACAGUCGAUCAGAGGCAGAGGCUGCGAAGAAUGCCUUGAACGGGGUCCGCUUCGACCCUGAGAUUCCCCAGACCUUGCGCCUGGAGUUUGCCAAGGCCAACACCAAGAUGGCCAAGAACAAGCUGGUUGGCACUCCCAACCCCCCUCCCUCCCAGCAGAGCCCUGGGCCACAGUUCAUCAGCAGAGACCCAUAUGAGCUCACAGUGCCUGCUCUAUACCCCAGCAGCCCAGACGUGUGGGCGUCAUACCCGCUCUACCCGGCUGAGCUGUCGCCAGCCCUUCCGCCAGCUUUCACCUACCCCUCCUCGCUCCACGCUCAGAUUCGCUGGCUCCCACCUGCAGACGGAGCUCCUCAGGGAUGGAAGUCCAGGCAGUUCUGCUGAAGUAUGUGUUCCUGAUGUGUGAUGGUGGCCAUGGUCGUCCAUGACGGCGCUGCCCCGCGGUUCUCUUGUCCAACCAGGACUUCUCCUGACCCCGUGUGCCACGCAAUGGACCGCCGAAGCAGCAGCUACCUCAUGGGCCUCAGAACAACCAAGAACCCCAGCCUCCAUCACACAUCGAACCCCCCCUCCCCUUCCCGCCAUUUUAUACUGUUACAUACUCAAGAACAACUGGUGACACUUUGGUUGCAAAUUGUAUACACGCUACCUUAUGGUAUACCUUUGAAAUAGGUUGAAAUAGCCUGACACGAAGCUCCACUGACGUUGACGAAAACUUUGAUGUAAUUAGCACAAGCCUUGGGGGAAUAGGCUGAGCAUUGCUUUGCAUUCUGAAGGGCGAAGCUUGCAGUUGGAGUGAAGGUCUUUGAAGGUUUGCCAGGGUUCUUAGCUUGUGUAUCUGAAUGGGAGCAAAGUGCCGCCAUGUUAUAUUAUAAUAAUGAUUAUAAUUAUUACUAUUCUGUAUACUAUUAAUAUUAAUGUUAUUAUGAUUACAUACACGAUUAAGCAUGACUUGCCAAAAAAAUUACAAUAAAUAAAAAAAUGGCAAUGCUGUACAUUUUUAGAUAUUUUAAAGAAAAACAAAAAAGUAUUUUUGUAAUCAAGACAAUGUUUGCAAUGGUUCAGUUUGAUUGGUUACUUUUGUGUGAGAGAAACCGGUUUGAAAACAACAAAAUCUUUUCUUACCUUUUCUCUUUAGAAUAAUGGGUACUGUAACUGUUGUACCAAGAACAGUUCUUUCACUUUGCAAAUCUUUCUUUGUUUUGUUAGGAUUUGCUUUGGCCUUGUGUAUUUGAGUUGACCUACAAUAUAUUCAUCAGCAUAAGCAUUGUCUCAUGAUGCCAAACAUUUGUGUUCUUUGUCUUGUUCUACUAGUUAAAAAAAACUGACGUUCUUUGCAUUUUAUUGGUGCUGGGUAAAUUGGUAUUGAAUCGGUAUUGAUAUGGUACUUAGAACACCAAACAGCAGCCAUUUUAGCCCAGUUCAGAUGGCUGUUGAGAUGCAGGCUGUUGUUCCAGCGCACCUCUGACAUACCGUACCCAACUUCUUCCUAGGUUUCAACAUAACCCAUGAUAAGAUUAAUCCAGAGUGGCUUUAUUUGAUUCGUUUUAGUCUGUAACAAAAGAUGGUAUGAGUCCUUCCUGGUACAGGUGAACUGUAGACCUCAUGCAGAUAAUGCAAGGUUGUAAAACAUAUGAACAGUCCCUGCUAAAGGAAAUCAAGUAAUGUUUUUAAGUACACUGUAUACCUGGCAGAAGGCACAGUAUACUGUAAUAACAGACCAAAGGCAUACUUUUUUAACACUGGAUAGCUAACUAGGCUAGUUUGACUGCUUUGUACUUCUGAUAUCCUUCAGAUAUCUCCUCGUGAAGUGUGCCAUUAUUUUGCUGCCUGCCUCUCCUGGUGUCACUCCAAAGAGUAUCACAACUCCUGAAAAGAACAGCUUUUCAUGUGCUGUCUCGUCUAUUUUUAGGGAAAAGGUGACUCAACCCCUGGUUUUUGUACAUUUUUGUAUUUCUACCUGUGAGUGGAGUGAGAAGUGAUGUUUCAUAUGUCAUAUCUUGCCUUUUGGAUGCUCGGUGUAGGCCUGCAAUAAUUCAUGGAUGUGAUAUAUCCGAUUUUUGAAACAUUUGGUUGGUCUAAAAGCCGCAUUUGUUUGUGGAAAUGCAAAAUAUGGCGUCCUGUGUUUCCACUUCCUUCCCAAUGACUGAGUCAGGAAUAUCAAGGUGUGUCAACCACAUGAAAACCUGCUAAGACAUGAUGCUUGAAUGUGUCAGACUGGCAUGUUGUUGUGUCCCUUUUUCAACGUGAAUAUGAUCCAGCAUCAUUUCAUAUUUCAUGUAGAAAUGUUAUUUUCAGCACACACAACUCAACAUUCGCUUUGUCAGUGUUUGAACCAAUAGUGACAUUGAUGAGUCGACAGCAACAAUCAAUUCUGGAUUAUUCUAGGAUGCCGGUCGUGUAAUUAAUACAUCAUGCUAGCAACUCUCUUCUAGAAUUGUGUGAGAGCUAUUGGUUCUGUGCUUGUUUUCAUGAUUGAAACAUUAUAAGAGUAUAUAUGAAUAUUGAAUACUGUUUUAUAAGUAAUUUCACUGUGAAACCCCCAUGAUAGCAUUAAAAAAAUAUUCAAAUCACAUGAAAGAAUUACCACCCUAGUGUCAACUGAUGAGACAUAAAAUGUGAGUUGAAAUGAUCCUUUUGUGGAACAAUGGUAUUCUCUUAUGAUUGUUGUCUUUAAUCUACUGUUGGUGUUAUUGUGUGUUUUGUGCAUGUUCUCAUGGCAUGUCCAUUUUUCUUUAUCCCUUUUCAAUGCAUAAUGUUGAUAUUUAUAUAUUACACCGCUGUGAGGAGAAAAAUAUAUUAUUUCCGUGAGUUGCAGGGGUGGGUUUGAGAUGUUUUGUUAGAACCCCAAAAAAAGAUCAAAAAGAGAGACGUUUUUAUGAAGAAGAAAAAAAUGUAAAUGAAGACAUUUCUGGGCAUCUGCCAUUAAAGAUUGACGUUAUCA